AUUGAACGCUGGCGGCAGGCCUAACACAUGCAAGUCGAGCGGCAGCGGAAAGUAGCUUGCUACUUUGCCGGCGAGCGGCGGACGGGUGAGUAAUGUCUGGGAAACUGCCUGAUGGAGGGGGAUAACUACUGGAAACGGUAGCUAAUACCGCAUAACGUCGCAAGACCAAAGAGGGGGACCUUCGGGCCUCUUGCCAUCAGAUGUGCCCAGAUGGGAUUAGCUAGUAGGUGGGGUAACGGCUCACCUAGGCGACGAUCCCUAGCUGGUCUGAGAGAAUGACGAGCCACACUGGAACUGAGACACGGUCCAGACUCCUACGGGAGGCAGCAGUGGGGAAUAUUGCACAAUGGGCGCAAGCCUGAUGCAGCCAUGCCGCGUGUAUGAAGAAGGCCUUCGGGUUGUAAAGUACUUUCAGCGGGGAGGAAGGUGUUAAGGUUAAUAACCUCAGCAAUUGACGUUACCCGCAGAAGAAGCACCGGCUAACUCCGUGCCAGCCGCCGCCGUAACAC
rnacentral:rRNA from 1 species